GGGCUGUUAUUGUUAAAGUACUCAGUCCUUCAGUUAUGGCGGAAGCGGAGGCCCCUUUUUCACAAGCAGUCAUGCCAGGGCUUCCAUCCCCAGCACCAAAUAUAUGAACAGGAGUGGUGGCACACACUUGUAAUCCUAGCACCCAUGGAGUGAAAGCAGGAGAAUUGGAAGUUCAAGGUCAUCCUCAGCCAUGUAAGGAGUUGGAGGCCAGCCUGAGCUACGUGUCAAAAAAAAUAAAUAAAUAUAAGUAAAAAGAC